AGCUCCAAAAGCAUAUACUAAAAUUGCUGUAGUUAAAACGCUCGUAGUUUAUACAAGGGAUGCAAUUUGUAUGUUUCAGACUAUUGCUAGUUGCUGGCAAAUUCGUUUAUCGAUUAGUUAGUAACCAAGCGUAGUCUUUGCUUGGUUUUCCAAGUAAGCACGUUAGUGCCAAGGGUUUUGGGUCUCUUCUUACCAAAAAGUCUUGGCAUGUGUGGGGCAUAGAUUGCGUUCUGAUUCGAACCGUGAACAAAUUAAAGUGUUUAAAGCGGGCAUUGUACGUUCUUUGAACGUUUUGCUUGAAUAAUUUAGCAUGGGACUCAUUUUCCUUGCAAAAGGAUAAGAAAAAGGAGCCAGGAAGAGGACUCUGGUAUUGCGCGUUUAGAGGUGAAAUUCCGACAUCUUCGCAGGACGAACGGAGGCGUAGGCUGUCAUUGCCCAUCACAUCUCUA
rnacentral:rRNA from 1 species